CUUUUUAUAAUCAGUCAGCCCCUCUGCUUUCUGUGUCCACAAACUCUUCUUGCCAAAUUCAUCUGGUGAGGAAACUAAUGGACAACGGAAACAUUCCUCUGACUGUCCUGCUUCACGUCCUGCCUGCUGCAUAUCAGCAUGAGAGUACUCUCGGUUUCUAAAACUGAGCUGCCUCGUUAUUAACAGGCUCAUUUACCAGGACACUGAGCUAGCAAAUCAGAUGCACACAACUUGCCUGUCUGUGCUGUCUCCAAACUCUGCCUUCCUGCAGGAUGUGCUCUUCCCUCCAAGGUCAAUGCAGGUAACUUACUGUGUAUCGCCUCGUUCUAUCUGGCCGCCUUAUUGUUAAUAGCCUCCUCUGCCCAGGCAGCUGCGCCUGUGAGAGAAGAACAACAUGUUCCCUCCAGGACAGAGCGUGGAGUUAUUUCAUGUCCAAGGAGAGAUAAAACGCAAGCUGCUCUAAAGGCACUUCCAAAUCGCCCUGUAAAAGGAAACUGCAGAGAGACAAGCUGCUGGCAAGACGAGAGAUCAAAGGGUUAUGUAAAGGACUUACUGACCACGCUUCUCUUUCAUCGGGCCAGAUUGUGCAACCUGCCAGGUGCAGAAUACUUGCCGUUUCUAAGGGGUGAGCGAGUAUUACAGAUACGUGAGGAGCGGAUAUCUUCAUUGAAACAACACAGAAAGGAAAGUGGUUUUGCACUGAGCUGCGAAGCGGGAGGGAACAGGUGGCAGAUGGAGAUAUUUCGGAGGGCUGCUCUGACACUUUGUAGCAUGCCAGCGAAAAGAAUUUAAGCUUCGUUGUUAUAAGAGUUGGUAAUUCGCUUUUUCUUCCUUUUUAUUCACAAUUUCCAAAAUGGAAUAAACAAGGAAAAUAGUCAGGUGACA
rnacentral:lncRNA from 1 species